rnacentral:lncRNA from 1 species
UAUGUUCUAGGAAUUGAACCGUAAAAUUGAGGUGCGAGAAGUCAAUUCGGGUUCAAUUCGAAACUAUAAAAUUAGACUUCUUCUUUCACUUUGUUACACUAUCAUCUUUUUUUUUUUUCAACUUUUGAUUUUUUUUUUUUUCGAGCAUUGGUUCUGUUGAGAUUUGUAAAUCGAUUAAUGAGUUUGGGAUAAAUUGAUCAAGAUAAAUAUAUAUAAGUUUUGUAUCAAUC